CCUGCGCUCCUGAUGAUCCAGAGUAUCAUGCAUAGUUCACACUGAACAAUCGUGUUGACAACCAUACAUCUAAUAGUCUUUCGCUCCUAUCUGAUCCCCUUC
rnacentral:snoRNA from 1 species